GACGAACGCUGGCGGCGUGCUUAACACAUGCAAGUCGAACGGAAAGGCCCUGCUUUUGUGGGGUGCUCGAGUGGCGAACGGGUGAGUAACACGUGAGUAACCUGCCCUUGACUUUGGGAUAACUUCAGGAAACUGGGGCUAAUACCGGAUAGGAGCUGCUGCUGCAUGGUGGGGGUUGGAAAGUUUCGGCGGUUGGGGAUGGACUCGCGGCUUAUCAGCUUGUUGGUGGGGUAGUGGCUUACCAAGGGUUUGACGGGUAGCCGGCCUGAGAGGGUGACCGGCCACAUUGGGACUGAGAUACGGCCCAGACUCCUACGGGGGGCAGCAGUGGGGAGUAUUGCACAAUGGGCGGAAGCCUGAUGCAGCAACGCCGCGGGCGGGAUGACGGCCUUCGGGUUGUAAACCGCUUUCGCCUGUGACGAAGCGUGAGUGACGGUAAUGGGUAAAGAAGCACCGGCUAACUACGUG
rnacentral:rRNA from 1 species